CCUCGAGUAACUUCUUAAGAAAGAACUCCUGUUAGUUGGAUAUUGGAUUUCCUGGAUGAUUAUCUUCUCACUCAAGCCGUCUGGAGCUGUGACAGCCAUCUUGUGACCAUGUGGGGAUGAGCACGAGGAAGAAGACAACAUGUGAAGGAAGAAAGUCAGAAAGAGCCCAAUUUCUUGAUGGCAUCAUUGAGCAGCUGAACCCAUGCCACAGUUCCUGUUAACUUAAAAAAAUAAAUAAAGC
rnacentral:lncRNA from 1 species